rnacentral:rRNA from 1 species
CAAUAGCGUAUAUUUAAGUUGCUGCAGUUAAAAAGCUCGUAGUUGGAUUUCGGGUGGGAAUGGCCGGUCCGCCGUUUCGGUGUGCACUUGCUACGCCCACCUUGCUGCCGGGGACGUGCUCUUGAGUUCACGCUCGGGACACGGAGUCGGCGAGGUUACUUUGAGUAAAUUAGAGUGUUCAACGCAGGCCUACGCUCUGAAUACAUUAGCAUGGAAUAACACGAUAGGACUCUGGCCUAUCUUGUUGGUCUGUAGGACCGGAGUAAUGAUUAAGAGGGACAGUCGGGGGCAUUCGUAUUUCAUUGUCAGAGGUGAAAUUCUUGGAUUUAUGAAAGACGAACUACUGCGAAAGCAUUUGCCAAGGAUGUUUUCAUUAA